AUGGCUUCCUCCGGCUCUCUCCACCCCACCCUCCUCGUGCUGCUCCUGCUCACAGUCGCCGCCACCGCGUCGACGACCACGACGUUCGUCCGGGCGGGAGCUCCUCCUGCCGACCUCGCCGAGCGGCUGCAGGGAGUGGGGCAGCAGCAGUGCUGGGAGAUUCUGAUGGACAUCAGGUCGUGCACGGGGGAGAUCAUCCUCUUCUUCCUCAACGGCGAGGCGUACCUGGGGCCCGGGUGCUGCCGCGCCAUCCGCGCCAUCGAGCAGCGCUGCUGGGCCGCCGACGCCAUGCUGUCCGUCAUCGGGUUCACCGCGGAGGAGGGGGACAUGCUCAAGGGCUACUGCGACGCGGGCGACGACGGCAACGCCGGCAAGGGACAGCGCCAUGGCAUCCGAGGGACCCUGGCCGCUGCGGCGGUUGUCGCGGGAAGGAAAGGGCUUGGUGCCCCAUGA
rnacentral:rRNA from 1 species